rnacentral:rRNA from 1 species
AGAGUUUGAUCCUGGCUCAGAUUGAACGCUGGCGGCGUGCUUAACACAUGCAAGUCGUGCGAGAAAGGGGGCUUCGGUCCCUGAGUAGAGCGGCGCACGGGUGAGUAGCGCGUGGAUAAUCUCCCCAGAAGUUCGGGAUAACGGCGGGAAACUGCCGCUAAUACCGGAUACGCUCCAAUUUCGGUUGGGGGAAAGGCGGCCUCUGUUUACAAGCUGUCGCUUCUGGAUGAGUCCGCGUCCCAUUAGCUUGUUGGUGGGGUAAUGGCCUACCAAGGCUACGAUGGGUAGCUGGUCUGAGAGGAUGAUCAGCCACACUGGAACUGAAACACGGUCCAGACUCCUACGGGAGGCAGCAGUGGGGAAUAUUGCGCAAUGGGGGAAACCCUGACGCAGCGACGCCGUGUGAGGGAUGAAGGCUUUCGGGUCGUAAACCUCUGUCGGGAGGGAAG